GACGAACGCUGGCGGCGUGCUUAACACAUGCAAGUCGAACGGAAAGGCCCUGCUUUUGUGGGGUGCACGAGUGGCGAACGGGUGAGUAAAACGUGUGUAACAUGCACUUGACUUUGGGAUAACUUUAGGAAAAAGGGGCUAAUACCGGAUAGGAGCUCCUGAUGCAUGGUGGGGGUUGGAAAGUUUCGGCGGUUGGGGAUGGACUCGCGGCUUAUCAGCUUGUUGGUGGGGUAGUGGCUUACAAAGGCUUUGACGGGUAGCCGGCCUGAGAGGGUGACCGGCCACAUUGGGACUGAGAGACGGCCCAGACUCCUACGGGAGGCAGCAGUGGGGAAUAUUGCACAAUGGGCGGAAGCCUGAUGCAGCAACGCCGCGUGCGGGAUGACGGCCUUCGGGUUGUAAACCGCUUUCGCCUGUGACGAAGCGUGAGUGACGGUAAUGGGUAAAGAAGCACCGGCUAACUACGUG
rnacentral:rRNA from 1 species